GAAGUUGGGAGUCGCCCAGAACCACAUCCUGUUUGGCUCUGGCACUGAUUCAAUCAUGCCAAUGUCACCCGGACAAAAGAACUUUCUACACAGGCUUAAGAAAGAGACGCGGCACCUGCAGCAGGAAAGGAGCCCAGCCGGAGAGUUCACCGCACCAGUCAGCGAGCACAGAGUGCUGGACGGAUGACCAGUGGGGCCUUGGGGCAGUGUGGGGCGCAGGAAAAGAGUACCUGGUCCCGCAGUGACUGCAGUGAGGAGGACCCUGCAUUUUUACCCACCCUCCUCACCUGGCACCACUGCUGUACAGGCUGUCAGCUCUGCUCCGGUUCUCAAGUUCACUCGGCAAAAAGCUGAUCUGCCUCCGUGUUUAGAAGCUCCUCACUGGCCAGGAGGGUGGCUCACCUCUACACGUCUGGGCUGGAGAGAACAAAGGAUGUGCUGUUGGGAAAAGAGAUGGGCCUCGGCCCAACUGGGAGGCCUGGGCCCAGCUGCCAUGGCGCACCAAGCGAGGGUCUGUAGGAAAGGGAAGUUCCCGGCCAGGAAAUGGGGACCCUGAGCUUCUCCCCGGCAGGAGGUGCCCAGUGUCACCUGCCUGAAGCAGACACGGGUGCAGAGGGUCAGGCCUGGAACCCCAGCCUCCAACCAGCCUUCCUAACCACUCUUACCUGAUAGAUUUAAAUUCAUAGAAAAGUCGUGGAGAUAAUACAGAGAAUUCCCACAGGCCUCCCGCCACCCGGCUUCCCUGUGAGUGUCUUACAGGAGGACGGCACCUUUGUCACAAUGGAUGUCGGUGCACUAUCAUCAAACAAUAAAGCCUGUCCUUCAUCCGGGUCUCCUAUGUUUGUCCCUGAGGUCCUUUUUUUCUGUUCCAGGAUCCCAUCCAGAUCACCACAUGACAUUAGGUGUCGUGUCUCUUUAAGCUCCUCUUGGCUAGGGCAUCUCCCCAGACAUUGUGUGUUUUGGGUGAC
rnacentral:lncRNA from 10 species